UUUUCCUUUUUUUUUAAUUUACCUUGUGGGGCUGUGGGAAAUGAGCAAUCCUUCUGGCUGUCAAUAUUGCCAGCGGCGCCGCUGCCCCGGGACCGGCGUCAGCCUCGCGCCCACCCGGAGCUGGCACGAUGGGGGCAGAGCCGACGGGGCUCUUGCACCUCCCAGAAAAUGGCUUUUGCAUCAGCUCUCCCCCCUUCCCACCUUGCCCAUGCAGAUGUUUUCUUCUAUUUAUUCCACCCCAGCCCUUCUCUUUCCUUCCCCUGCCUUUGAUGCGGGCUCAGCUACUCUGCAGGGUCUUUUUUUACAUCUUGCAAAGGAAAGCCCAGCUUUUGCAGCAAAGCAACACCCACAAAAUGCUCCCAGGGCUGGGGGGCACCUCCUCUGCCCCUCUCCUCUCCCCCCACCCAUCAUUUUCCCUCUCAGUAACAGCCAGGGCUCUCACAGUGGCUUUUGGGGUCACCUCACCCCAAUCAGAGGGGUUUUCUCCCAUGCUUUCAGGACUGGGGAGAAGCAACCUGAGCUUCCAGGUGGCCAGGGAGGGCAGGGCAUCAUCUGCACCCUAAUUAAGUGCUAAUGAAGUGAUGUGGUGCAGCUGAGUGUGGCUGGGGGCAAGGAGACAAAGAGGAGAUAAAAGGGGCUGGAAGAGGGCUUGUGGGGCCUUUUUGGGGCAGAGUUGGGGACCUGAGGACUGCAGGGACACCUCUCCUGCUUGUGGUCCAAAACUACUUUGGUAAAUAUCAAGUAAAUAGACUGAAGAGGAUUCAUUUCAGCAGCUCGGAUUGUCAGGACUUCAGCCCGAGAGCACAUCCUUCAACGGGGAGACAAAGGGAGGAGGAAGGCUCCCGUCCCUCCCCAAAAAAGCAAUCAGGAAAUUCUCAGCGCGUCGGGCUGACCCAGAAUGAGCAGUGAAGCAGGUGGCUGGGUGGAGACCCUAAAAGUCUUGGGGGGGGCUGAAAUGUGCCCCGUGGAGCCGUGGUGUGUGUGGGUAGGGUGGCAGCAGAGCUCGGGGUGUGGGGUUUUGACCUCCUGGUGCUGGACAGCCAGCCCCUAGGGACUCCCAUGUGGCUGUGCCUCCCUUACACCGUGGCUGUGAUCUUUUUUGGGGAAGGGUCCCCUGGGAGUUUUGUGGUCUAGUUGCUGAUAAAUAUUUGCUGGUGCUCCUGCUGCCCCGAAGUGGCACUUCCCAGGUGCACAGCCCCAGGGCUGAGCCCUCUGCUCACCGCAGAUCCCAGCCGAGCUGUCUGCGCUCAGGCCUUCAGCCGGCAUGUACAGGCAGGUGGGGAGAGGAAAAAAUAGAAGCUUCCAGCCUCCGAAAGCGAGCUGAGGGUUUGUAAACUUGACCCAAAUAAACACAGUGCGGGACGGCUUCCUUGAGUCAGCAGAGAGCCUAAAAUAGUGCCUGGUGCGACCUCCUCCAUCCCGCUGCGUCUGGAGCCUGGAAAUGCCACCCAGAAAGGUUGGGUGGAGCUGCCCGGUGGAUGGGAAGAAGGCAACGUGGUGUUUCCAACAAAGCCUUGGUUCCUCGGCGUGCCUCGAGGUGGUCAGCAGCCCGGCCACGUUGACUGGGCAUAUUUUUUUACUCUUUUUGAACCGAUGCAGCUCACCUUGGUCCAGCAAGGAGCGCGCGCGGCAGCCGCCUGUCAUCAAUUCAGAUACCUCCCUCCCCUCGUUUCAAGGACUUGUGAGAGCAAGAGGCUUGUGGCUACGGAGAUUUACACCCCCUCGGCAAGGGUUAACCUCAUCUCGCCGCCACUAUUGUCUCAGGACAAGUUGUCAGUCUGUGAGAACGUGCCGUAAUGGAUUUGAAGUGGAUUGCUCAGCCCACGGAGAGGGUGAUGCUGUAUUUAUUGAAUAGACAUUAAAAAGAACAUUUCUCAAUUUCUCA